rnacentral:lncRNA from 1 species
CCCAGGCCUGGGAGGCGCUGGGCCUCAGGGAGGACUGCGCUCCACUGGAGCGCUGCCUUGAAGUUGGCCCGACCGGGGCACAGGCAGGAGUUGGAGCGAGUUCCUCAGAAAGAAAGUACCUCCUACCCAGGCAUGGUGUGCACACCUGUAAUCCCAGCACUCUGCGAGGCUGAAGCAGGAAGACUGAAAGUUCAAGAGCCUCAUGGAGACUGGGAAAGGAAUGUUUCUUCCCCAAGCUUAGCAGGCAGCCUGGCUGGGAGCCAUUUGGCAACAUCCCCAGCAGGAAAGUUGGGGAAGAAGCAACAGUACCACCCCCAAGAUGCUGCAGCAACAGACACAGAGACGGUCUGUCGGCUCCUGCCUGGGGGACCCCCAGCCCAGGUGCAUCCCCAAGAUGGGGAGGAGGAGCCCUCCUGCCUCAGUGACUGAGGAGCAAGCUCAC